AUUGAACGCUGGCGGCAUGCUUUACACAUGCAAGUCGAACGGUAACAGGUUAAGCUGACGAGUGGCGAACGGGUGAGUAAUGCAUCGGAACGUGCCCGAUCGUGGGGGAUAACGCAGCGAAAGCUGCGCUAAUACCGCAUACGAUCUGAGGAUGAAAGCGGGGGACCGUAAGGCCUCGAGCGAUCGGAGCGGCCGAUGUCAGAUUAGGUAGUUGGUGGGGUAGAGGCCCACCAAGCCGACGAUCUGUAGCUGGUCUGAGAGGACGACCAGCCACACUGGGACUGAGACACGGCCCAGACUCCUACGGGAGGCAGCAGUGGGGAAUUUUGGACAAUGGGCGAAAGCCUGAUCCAGCAAUGCCGCGUGCAGGAAGAAGGCCUUCGGGUUGUAAACUGCUUUUGUACGGAGCGAAAAGGUCCUUUCUAAUACAAGGGGCUCAUGACGGUACCGUAAGAAUAAGCACCGGCUAACUACGUGCCAGCCGCCGCAGUAA
rnacentral:rRNA from 1 species